rnacentral:rRNA from 1 species
CCUACGGGGGGCAGCAGUGAGGAAUAUUGGUCAAUGGACGGAAGUCUGAACCAGCCAUGCCGCGUGCAGGAUGACGGCUCUAUGAGUUGUAAACUGCUUUUGUACGAGAAUAAUAGUUCUUACGUGUAGAGAUUUGCAUGUAUCGUACGAAUAAGCAUCGGCUAACUCCGUGCCAGCAGCCGCGGUAAUACGGAGGAUUCGAGCGUUAUCCGGAUUUAUUGGGUUUAAAGGGUGCGUAGGCUGUUGGAUAAGUUAGCGGUGAAAUGUCGGGGCUUAACCACGUGACUGCCUUUGAAACUGGUCGACUAGAGAGCGGAUGCAGCAGGCGGAAUGAGUAGUGUAGCGGUGAAAUGCUUAGAUAUUACGCAGAACACCGAUUGCGCAGGCAGCUUGCUAAUCCGCAUCUGACGCUGAUGCACGAAAGCGUGGGGAGCGAACAGGAUUAGAUACCCCUGUAGUC